AUGAAAUAUUAACUGUUUCAUAAAAAUUUAUAAUAGAAUUUUAUUUUUUAGUCAAAAAGCUAAAAUAUUAUUAAAAGACGAGAAGACCCUAUAAAUCUUUAUAUUUAAAUAAUAUUAAUUAUUUAGAUAAGUUAAAUUAUUAUUAUUUUAAAUAUUUUAUUGGGGUGAUAUUAAAAUUUAAUAAACUUUUAAUUUAUUAUAUACAUAAAUUAAUGAAUUAUUGAUCCAUUUAUUAUGAUUAAAAAAUUAAGUUACUUUAGGGAUAACAGCGUAAUUUUUUUAGAGAGUUCAUAUUGAUAAAAA
rnacentral:rRNA from 1 species